GACGAACGCUGGCGGCGUGCUUAACACAUGCAAGUCGAACGGAAAGGCCCUGCUGUUGUGGGGUGCUCGAGUGGCGAACGGGUGAGUAACACGUGAGUAACCUGCCCUUGACUUUGGGAUAACUUCAGGAAACUGGGGCUAAUACCGGAUAGGAGCGCCUGCUGCAUGGUGGGGGUUGGAAAGUUUCGGCGGUUGAGGAUGGACUCGCGGCUUAUCAGCUUGUUGGUGGGGUAGUGGCUUACCAAGGCUUUGACGGGUAGCCGGCCUGAGAGGGUGACCGGCCACAUUGGGACUGAGGUACGGCCCAGACUCCUACGGGCGGCAGCAGUGGGGAAUAUUGCACACUGGGCGGCAGCCUGAUGCAGCAACGCCGCGUGCUGGAUGACGGCCUUCGGGUUGUAAACCGCUUUCGCCUGUGACGAAGCGUGAGUGACGGUAAUGGGUAAAGAAGCACCGGCUAACUACGUG
rnacentral:rRNA from 1 species